GUGGCGCCUGGGACUGCCCGUCGGCUGCCCCGGCUCUGCGCUGGCCGGGCCUGAGGGGCCGGGCCCGCGGGUGGCGGGAAGGAGCCGGCAGCCCGGAGGUUUCCGGGGCGGGUCCGCGCCGUCGCCCACACCCAGCGGUUCAGGGAAAUUCAAAUGUAAACGUACUGAAAAGCGACCCGCGAAACUCGCGGAGGCCUGGGUGACCCAGGGCGUUGGGACCUCAUCCCCGCCGGGCGGACCGGGCUCGGAAAGCCGUCCGGAGGCCCCGCUGCUGUGGGGCCGCGGAAUGGGCCCUGGUGUCUGCGAUGCAAAACCCCACCGCGUGCCGGUUCCAAGGGCAAGCUCUUACCCUUCUCUCAGACUUUCAGUGAAUGACAUCAUGGCCAGCUCAAAAGAAGUAAGUUACAAGAUGAUCAAGACACAGUUCCUGCCCCACAGAAACUGAGACUUUGCAAGGAAAGGCCAUAUUUCCGAGGAGUAAAUAAGAAGGAAGCCAUUCAAACUUCAUCCUCACCCGGAGGUGAAAGCUGAGUCACGUGAGAUCUGCAAAAUCAUUCUAUGGGAUAAACUGGCGCUGCCUGGGACCUGGCCCCAGCCAGAGGAUGCUCUUGCUGCCAUUCUGAAACAGUAAAGUGUUUCUCAGCUGUUUUUUCCAUAAUUGUUUCCCCCACUACAAGGAGCCCUUAGACAUUUUCCUAUUCACCCCACCACCCAUGACAUUUUAAUACUCACAGAUAUACUGUGUAUCUAUUGUGCAUUUUACAUAACAAUGUUUUUUCCCUUUUGUCCCAAGAACCAAUUUUGAAGAAUGCAUGAAUUAAACCAAAAGUAACACUUGCGUUCAUCACUGCUAAGUACUGGGCCCUGUGAUAAGCGCCUCAUGUGUAUCAUCUCAUUUAAUCCUCGCAUUAAUCGCCAUUUUACAGCUGAGGACACUGAGGCUCAGAGAAGUCAAACAACUUAGCCAAAUCUCAUACCUAGUAAGUUGCAGACCCCGAACUCAAAACAAUGAAUCCCUUAAUUCCAAAAUCCAUAUUCUUAAAAUUUGAGCUACGGGUUAGUAUGUUGUCUGCACACUAACAGGCUACAAUUUACAUAUUUUUUUCUAAGUAUUAAAACUGACUAUACUUACUUUUUUAUUCAGUUUUCAUUGUUAACAAAGUUUUUUAAAAUCUCAAACCAAUAAUUUAUGAUCCAACAAUCAGAGACAAUUUAAUUUUGUAAAAAAGUCAUAUUAAGCACAAUUAAAAAAUGAAAACAAUGAAGCUC